UACGAGACGGUCCGCGUUGUUCGGAUUCACUGGGCGUAAAGGGUGCGUAGGUGGCGUGGUAAGUUUGAUGUGAAAGCUCAGGGCUUAACCCUGAAAUGGCAUUGAAUACUACUGUGCUGGAGGUUUGGAGGGGGGACUGGAAUUCUUGGUGUAGCAGUGAAAUGCGUAGAUAUCAAGAGGAACACCAGUGGCGAAGGCGAGUCCCUGGACAACACCUGACACUGAGGCACGAAAGCUAGGGGAGCAAACAGG
rnacentral:rRNA from 1 species